UACGAGGGGUGCAAGCGUUGCUCGGAAUUAUUGGGCGUAAAGGGUAGGUAGGUGGUCUCAUUUGUCCGGGGUGAAAUCCUUGGGCUUAACUCAAGAAGUGCCCCGGAAACGGUGAGACUAGAGUACUGGAGAGGGUCGUGGAAUUCCCGGUGUAGCGGUGAAAUGCGUAGAGAUCGGGAGGAACACCAGAGGCGAAGGCGGCGACCUGGACAGUUACUGACACUCAACUACGAAAGCGUGGGGAGCGAACGGG
rnacentral:rRNA from 1 species